GUCAACUACCCACCGAGCCUAACGGCAUCGGUGGGCUUGCAGGAAGAAGGAUAGAGAAGAGAGGAUAGAGGAAGAAAAAACCUCAAUCCUCAAAUUUCAAUCCUUGAUAGCGAGCCCAGGUUGAUUAGCUUCAGCCACCAAUCUACGGAUUGAUGGGGAACUACGUUAGCUAGGAAUAUAUAGGCACUACGGGAUUAGCCGAGUCCCGUACCCUGCG
rnacentral:sRNA from 20 species